AUUGAACGCUGGCGGCAGGCCUAACACAGGCAAGUCGAACGGUAACAGGAAGCAGCUUGCUGCUUCGCUGACGAGUGGCGGACGGGUGAGUAAUGUCUGGGAAACUGCCUGAUGGAGGGGGAUAACUACUGGAAACGGUAGCUAAUACCGCAUAACGUCGCAAGACCAAAGAGGGGGACCUUAGGGCCUCUUGCCAUCGGAUGUGCCCAGAUGGGAUUAGCUAGUAGGUGGGGUAACGGCUCACCUAGGCGACGAUCCCUAGCUGGUCUGAGAGGAUGACCAGCCACACUGGAACUGAGACACGGUCCAGACUCCUACGGGAGGCAGCAGUGGGGAAUAUUGCACAAUGGGCGCAAGCCUGAUGCAGCCAUGCCGCGUGUAUGAAGAAGGCCUUCGGGUUGUAAAGUACUUUCAGCGGGGAGGAAGGGAGUAAAGUUAAUACCUUUGCUCAUUGACGUUACCCGCAGAAGAAGCACCGGCUAACUCCGUG
rnacentral:rRNA from 1 species